UACGUAGGUGGCAAGCGUUGUCCGGAUUUAUUGGGCUUAAAGGGCGCGUAGGCGGCUUAUUAAGUCAGUGGUGAAAUACUCUAGCUCAACUAGAGGAGUGCCAUUGAUACUGAUGAGCUUGAGUACAGAUGAGGUAGGCGGAAUUGACGGUGUAGCGGUGAAAUGCUUAGAUAUCGUCAAGAACACCUAUAGCGAAGGCAGCUUACUGGGCUGUAACUGACGCUGAGGCACGAAAGUGUGGGGAUCAAACAGG
rnacentral:rRNA from 1 species